UCCGGAGGAUGCCAGCGUUAUCCGGACUGAUUGGGCGUAAAGCGUCCGCAGGUGGUUGUGUGUGGCUAUUGUCAAAGCAUCAUGCUUACCACGCUAAAGGCAGUAGAAACUACACGACUAGAGUGCGUUCGGGGCAGAGGGAAUUCCUGGCGGAGCGGGGAAAUGCGUAGAGUUCAGGCAGAACACCGAUGGCGAAAGCGCUCUGCUAGGCCGCAACUGACACUGAGGGACGGAUGCUAGGGGAGCGAAUGGG
rnacentral:rRNA from 1 species